CAGAGGUCUCCCCAGGAGGCCCUGGGGCUCUGCAUUGAUCUCUGCAGUCUUGAAAAAAACUAACUUCCUGGCCGUUUCUUCUUGUUUCUCAGGAAAAUCUUGUGGCCUAUCUGUCUGGGACCAAGCAGAGUCUGAAAGGCUUCCUGUGACAUCUACACAGGCUGUGAGGAAGUAGAGAUGUCACAGAACGUUCCAGGAACGUUAGACUAUGUUUCAGGCAGUGCCUAUGACUUGGGACAGUGAUGUAAGUCAUCAUCUUGGCCUUUCGAUAUGAGACAAGCAGCGAACCCAGUAGCCACCUUUGUAUCACAGAGAUGCAGGUUUGCAAAGAAGAAUGGAACUGUUAAAGAGCCUUCCUAGUGGCUACCAGGAGGGUAGGAGCAAUGCUUUCUGGCUUAAGGUUAUCAAUACAUCAUUUACAAAUUGUUGGUGUUUAUUCACUGAAGCACAAUAGCGUCAGGAGAAACAACUGAGCUGGAAAAGCUUUAUCCAAGUGUCAACCCCCGACUGGAACAUGAAGUAGAAAUUGACAAAUAUAUUUCCCACACAGGACACAUUUAUUUUCCUUGAAUAAUUAUUUAUCUCCAUCUUGUCUUUAAAAUGAUUUAUGACAUCUUGUGCCAAAUAUUAAAAGUCCGCACCCCGAUGAGCUAAAAACCAAGACAUCGUUCUAUCUUAAGGGUAUAAAUAUUUUGUACAUCAUAUGAAUUAAUGUACAUGUGGGGCUGAACAAAACCAGCAACCUGAACUGAUGGUAUUAGAGUUCUUUCUCUCCUCACAAAUCUGCUUUCA
rnacentral:lncRNA from 1 species